rnacentral:misc_RNA from 1 species
AACAUCGCGCACCUGCGGGAACCUGCGGAAGGAUCAUUAAUGAUUGGUGGCUGUUGCUGACUAGUGUUUCUAGUAUGUGCACGCCACACCUUCAAUCCCACUUACACCUGUGCACCUUCAGUAAUAGAUCUAUGUGGAUACGGAGAUGUGAAAGUUUGCGCUCUCCUACUCUGUUGAAGCAGUCUACUACGUUUUUUUACACACACACACACAAUAGUCAUUGAAUGUAUUUUUUAUUCU